CCUGCCGCAUACAACUCAAAGAGCUCCACUAGCAAACCUUGAGCUGCUUGAAAUCCACUGCUGAAAAUGGACCCUUUAAAAAUGCAAAUGCCCUUUGGAGGAGGUGUGUGCCCCACCCUCCUGCCCCCUACCGAGUUCCCAGAGGUCCAUCCUCUGUGCGCCCUCAGCAUUCGGCACAUACCUCCCAGUUCAGUAACGAUGAUCAGAUGAUCCGUAUGGGCUUUAUCACGGUUCUCCUCGCCCUGCUGUGGCGCCACGAAGGCUGGGACAGUCUCACUGGCUCCGAAGCCCCUCGGCCUAUACCAGCCCACACCCAUGGGUGGAUUGAGUGAAUGAACCAGGGCAGACCACCAUCCACCCUGGUUUCUCCUGGACUGGCUUGCAGGGCUGGCUUGCCUCCUGGUGCUGAAUUUCUCUGAUGGAUUUCAGCAUAACUUCAAAAUAAAAUACUGUCAACUCAGCCCCAGAUUGGAAACCUGUCUCUGAGGCCCUGAAGCUUUUCCUAGUCUUCCCUGGCAACUCUCCAUCCCAAGGAAGUUCCAGAAAGAACCCCAGGGGGGCCUCCCUCCUACGGCAAAGCAGACCUCCCCUUCCACUUCCAGUGCAGCGCUAAGUCAGAACUGCCCAAGGAAGAUUCUGCCCACGUUUAUCUCAAACUGGUCUGCAGGCCCUCGGGCUGGGACCCGUCCCAGGAGCUGCCCAUCUGCAAAGAGGUGCGUGCCACUUCCUGCGGGCCCCUUCCUGCAGGCUUCUUCCUGGCGGGCCCCUUCUGGGGGCACCGGCUACUCCACAUGACUCGGAUCUCAAACCUGGGGCUGCUCAGGGGGCAUGGAGUUGGGGGCAUAGCUGGGGGCGGUGGUGUGGCCGGGGGUGAGGUGUGGCAGCUGGGGAGCCGCGGUUGGUAGAGACGGGGGUCCACACCUGCCCCUGCCGCUGGGUUCCCAGAUGCCUCUGUGUUUUUCACCUGCCCUCACCCCGUCCCUCCAGUGAAAUGCAAAUCAGCAAGUACAUAAUAGAUAAUUAAUAGACUGAUCAGCCGGCAGGGAGGUAAGUAGAUAAAUAAUUUUAAUUAUCUUUGGGUUGCCCAUAAAUUCCCGCACUGCCUUUUCAUUAAACUCUGUUUACAGGCGUCGUCUAUACUGCAUAUCAUUUUGUGGAUGCCUCCCCCACUUCCUUAGUGGCUCCCACCAGAUCUGACCUGGGGGGGGAUGUGUGGGUCGUGGCGGGUUCUUUCCUCAGGGCCGGGCUCUGGCACAGGUGGCAGAAAGCUCUGCCUGGGGAGCGGGGCUGGGUGGCAGCAGGCAGACCACGCUCAGUGCCCCGACGCAGCCACAGCCUAUAUUUAGGCAACUCGGGAAGCUUUAUUAUGCUUGGCACCUGCGCUGAAGGUCUGAGCUCAUUGUCCUCCCCAGGGACGGCUUCGGCCUAUUAAUAGCCUUGGCUGAGGUUUCCUUAUUGCUCCGAAGGCCAAGAGAGAAAGUGGGUUAAUAAAUAUAAAAGAAAACUCUCUCCUCAGUGCCCCGACGCAGCCACAGCCUAUAUUUAGGCAACUCGGGAAGCUUUAUUAUGCUUGGCACCUGCGCUGAAGGUCUGAGCUCAUUGUCCUCCCCAGGGACGGCUUCGGCCUAUUAAUAGCCUUGGCUGAGGUUUCCUUAUUGCUCCGAAGGCCAAGAGAGAAAGUGGGUUAAUAAAUAUAAAAGAAAACUCUCUCAAGAGGGCCUGGGGCCAAACUCUCUCCCAG
rnacentral:lncRNA from 1 species